rnacentral:rRNA from 1 species
ACGUGGGUGAUCUGCCCUGCACUUUGGGAUAAGCCUGGGAAACUGGGUCUAAUACCGAAUACACCCUGCUGGUCGCAUGGCCUGGUGGGGGAAAGCUUUUGCGGUGUGGGAUGGGCCCGCGGCCUAUCAGCUUGUUGGUGGGGUGAUGGCCUACCAAGGCGACGACGGGUAGCCGGCCUGAGAGGGUGUCCGGCCACACUGGGACUGAGAUACGGCCCACACUCCUACGGGAGGCAGCAGUGGGGAAUAUUGCACAAUGGGCGCAAGCCUGAUGCAGCGACGCCGCGUGAGGGAUGACGGCCUUCGGGUUGUAAACCUCUUUCAGUAGGGACGAAGCGUAAGUGACGGUACCUAUAAAAGAAGCACCGGCCAACUACGUGCCAGCAGCCGCGGUAAUACGUAGGGUGCGAGCGUUGUCCGGAAUUACUGGGCGUAAAGAGCUCGUAGGUGGUUUGUC